rnacentral:rRNA from 1 species
CCUACGGGGUGCACCAGUGGGGAAUAUUGCACAAUGGGCGCAAGCCCGAUGCAGCCAUGCCGCGUGUAUGAAGAAGGCCUUAGGGUUGUAAAGUACUUUCGGUUGGGAGGAAGGCGUUGAUGCUAAUAUCAUCAGCGAUUGACGUACCAACAGAAGAAGCACCGGCUAACUCCGUGCCAGCAGCCGCGGUAAUACGGAGGGUGCAAGCGUUAAUCGGAAUUACUGGGCGUAAAGCGCACGCAGGCGGUUGAUUAAGUUAGAUGUGAAAUCCCCGGGCUUAACCUGGGAAUGGCAUCUAAGACUGGUCAGCUAGAGUCUUGUAGAGGGGGGUAGAAUUCCAUGUGUAGCGGUGAAAUGCGUAGAGAUGUGGAGGAAUACCGGUGGCGAAGGCAGCCCCCUGGACAAAGACUGACGCUCAGGUGCGAAAGCGUGGGGAGCAAACAGGAUUAGAUACCCCUGUAGUC